UACAGAGGUCUCAAGCGUUGUUCGGAUUCAUUGGGCGUAAAGAGCGUGUAGGCGGCUAUGCAGGUCCGCUGUGAAACUCGAGGCUCAACCUCGAGACGUCGGUGGAAACCGCAUGGCUAGAGUCCGGAAGAGGAGAGUGGAAUUCCUGGUGUAGCGGUGAAAUGCGCAGAUAUCAGGAGGAACACCGAUGGCGAAGGCAGGUCUCUGGGCAUUAACUGACGCUGAGGAGCGAAAAGCAUGGGGAGCGAACAGGG
rnacentral:rRNA from 1 species